rnacentral:misc_RNA from 1 species
AAGUCGUAACAAGGUCUCCGUAGGUGAACCUGCGGAGGGAUCAUUAACACGUUUCCGAACGUUUAACUUUUCACAUCAACCGCGUGAUAUAACUGAAUCAAAACCCAAUGGAAAUCAGAGAAUUCUAUUUAGAAUGCACGGAGUGAUGAGUGUGUAUGUGAGCAAUUGCAUACACACCGGUGUAUCUAGAUUGGUAUUGCUGCUGUUUCACUGUAUGCGCAAGCAUGCUUUGAGACCAGACUCUACAAGACCUCUUUUCUCCAUAGUUCCCUUCAUCGCUGGAACGAAAACAACCAUUUUCACAUCUUAUAACCACUUGACUGAUAGGUGCUCAGCGUAGCGAAAGCCGCGUAUGAAACCACAACUAAUCAAAUAUCUAAGCACAACUCUUAGCAACGGAUAUCUUGGUUCUCGCAUCGAUGAAGAA